AGAGUUUGAUCCUGGCUCAGGAUGAACGCUGGCGGCGUGCCUAACACAUGCAAGUCGAGCGUGAAGUUUUGGAAUGAUACUUCGGUAAAGUGAAGAAACGGAAAGCGGCGGACGGGUGAGUAACGCGUAGGUAACCUGCCCCAUACACAGGGAUAGCCUAGGGAAACCUGGAUUAAUACCUGAUGAUGCGAGGGAGUCACAUGGCUUCUUCGCCAAAGAUUGAUCGGUAUGGGAUGGACCUGCGUCUGAUUAGCUGGUUGGUGAGGUAACGGCUCACCAAGGCAACGAUCAGUAGCCGACCUGAGAGGGUAAUCGGCCACAUUGGAACUGAGACACGGUCCAAACUCCUACGGGAGGCAGCAGUGGGGAAUAUUGCACAAUGGGCGCAAGCCUGAUGCAGCAACGCCGCGUGAGUGAAGAAGGUCUUCGGAUCGUAAAACUCUGUCCUUAGGGAAGAAACAAAUGACGGUACCUAAGGAGGAAGCCCCGGCUAACUACGUGCCAGCAGCCGCGGUAAUACGUAGGGGGCGAGCGUUAUCCGGAAUUAUUGGGCGUAAAGAGUACGUAGGUGGUUUUGUAAGCGUGGGGUGAAAGACCGAGGCUUAACUUCGGUUAGCCUUGCGAACUGCAAGACUUGAGUGCAGGAGAGGAAAGUGGAAUUCCUAGUGUAGCGGUGAAAUGCGUAGAUAUUAGGAGGAACAUCAGUGGCGAAGGCGACUUUCUGGACUGUAACUGACACUGAGGUACGAAAGCGUGGGUAGCAAACAGGAUUAGAUACCCUGGUAGUCCACGCCGUAAACGAUGAGCACUAGGUGUCGGGGUCGCAAGGCUUCGGUGCCGCAGUUAACGCAUUAAGUGCUCCGCCUGGGGAGUACGCACGCAAGUGUGAAACUCAAAGGAAUUGACGGGGACCCGCACAAGCAGCGGAGCAUGUGGUUUAAUUCGAAGCAACGCGAAGAACCUUACCAGGGCUUGACAUCCCUCUGACCGGCCGGUAAUGCGGCCUUCCCUUCGGGGCAGAGGUGACAGGUGGUGCAUGGUUGUCGUCAGCUCGUGUCGUGAGAUGUUGGGUUAAGUCCCGCAACGAGCGCAACCCU
rnacentral:rRNA from 1 species